rnacentral:rRNA from 1 species
AGAGUUUGAUCCUGGCUCAGGAUGAACGCUGGCGGCGUGCCUAAUACAUGCAAGUCGAGCGAACGGACGAGAAGCUUGCUUCUCUGAUGUUAGCGGCGGACGGGUGAGUAACACGUGGAUAACCUACCUAUAAGACUGGGAUAACUUCGGGAAACCGGAGCUAAUACCGGAUAAUAUUUUGAACCGCAUGGUUCAAAAGUAAAAGACGGUCUUGCUGUCACUUAUAGAUGGAUCCGCGCUGCAUUAGCUAGUUGGUAAGGUAACGGCUUACCAAGGCAACGAUGCAUAGCCGACCUGAGAGGGUGAUCGGCCACACUGGAACUGAGACACGGUCCAGACUCCUACGGGAGGCAGCAGUAGGGAAUCUUCCGCAAUGGGCGAAAGCCUGACGGAGCAACGCCGCGUGAGUGAUGAAGGUCUUCGGAUCGUAAAACUCUGUUAUUAGGGAAGAACAUAUGUGUAAGUAACUGUGCACAUCUUGACGGUACCUAAUCAGAAAGCCACGGCUAACUACGUGCCAGCAGCCGCGGUAAUACGUAGGUGGCAAGCGUUAUCCGGAAUUAUUGGGCGUAAAGCGCGCGUAGGCGGUUUUUUAAGUCUGAUGUGAAAGCCCACGGCUCAACCGUGGAGGGUCAUUGGAAACUGGAAAACUUGAGUGCAGAAGAGGAAAGUGGAAUUCCAUGUGUAGCGGUGAAAUGCGCAGAGAUAUGGAGGAACACCAGUGGCGAAGGCGACUUUCUGGUCUGUAACUGACGCUGAUGUGCGAAAGCGUGGGGAUCAAACAGGAUUAGAUACCCUGGUAGUCCACGCCGUAAACGAUGAGUGCUAAGUGUUAGGGGGUUUCCGCCCCUUAGUGCUGCAGCUAACGCAUUAAGCACUCCGCCUGGGGAGUACGACCGCAAGGUUGAAACUCAAAGGAAUUGACGGGGACCCGCACAAGCGGUGGAGCAUGUGGUUUAAUUCGAAGCAACGCGAAGAACCUUACCAAAUCUUGACAUCCUUUGACAACUCUAGAGAUA